UACAGAGGGUGCUAGCGUUGUUCGGAAUCAUUGGGCGUAAAGCGCGUGUAGGCGGUUCGGUAAGUCCGCUGUGAAAGUCGGGGGCUCAACCCUCGGAUGCCGGUGGAUACUGUCGAGCUUGAGUACGGAAGAGGCGAGUGGAGUUCCUGGUGUAGCGGUGAAAUGCGCAGAUAUCAGGAGGAACACCAAUUGCGAAGGCAGCUCGCUGGGACGUUACUGACGCUGAGACGCGAAAGCGUGGGGAGCAAACAGG
rnacentral:rRNA from 1 species